rnacentral:rRNA from 1 species
GACGAACGCUGGCGGCGUGCUUAACACAUGCAAGUCGAGCGGAAAGGCCCUGCUUUUGUGGGGUGCUCGAGUGGCGAACGGGUGAGUAACACGUGAGUAACAUGUCCUUGACAUUGGGGUAACUUCAGGAGACUGGGGCUAAUACAGGAUAGGAGCUCCUGCUGCAUGGUGGGGGUUGGUAAGUUUCGGCGGUUGGGGAUGGACUCGCGGCUUAUCAGCUUGUUGGUGGGGUAGUGGUGUACAAAGGCUUUGACGGGUAGCCCGCCUUGGAGGGGGACCGGGCACCAGGCGCCUGCGGUAGGGCCCAGACGGCUACGUUCCGCAGCAGGCGAAAACAUUGCACAACGGGCCCAAGCGAGAUGCAGCAACGCCCCGAUCGUGAUGCUCUCUUUUUAGUGAUAAACCACUUUCGCCUGAGCCGAACCCGGAUUGACGGUAACGAGUAAAGAAGCACCGGCUAACUACGUG